UCCGAGUUGACCCCGGCAGUCUCCCAUGAGUCCCCGGCAUAACCCGCUGGCAACAUAGAACGAGGGUUGCGCUCGUUGCGGGACUUAACCCAACAUCUCACGACACGAGCUGACGACAACCAUGCACCACCUGUGCACGGCCCUUACGGACCCACCAUCUCUGGAGGAUUUCCGUGCAUGUCAAGCCUAGGUAAGGUUCUUCGCGUUGCAUCGAAUUAAGCAACAUGCUCCGCCGCUUGUGCGGGCCCCCGUCAAUUCCUUUGAGUUUUAGCCUUGCGGCCGUACUCCCCAGGCGGGGUGCUUAAUGCGUUAGCUUCGGCACCGGAGGGGUCGAUACCCCCGACACCAAGCAUUCAUCGUUUAAGGCCAGGACUAC
rnacentral:misc_RNA from 1 species